AUAAUUUUUAAGAUGGAUAGCAUCAUAGCAAUUCUAAUGCUUCUAAUGGGCUCCUGGAGAAUGAUCUGUAGUGAGACAGAGACUCAAGAUAUAGCUACUGGUACAGAGAGUGUUUAUGAGCCUCCCUCAAUCUUUUCGGAGCAAGAAAAAUUAGCAGAAACCAAUUCUCCAACUCCACUAGUCCCCAUUACAGAAGGGCCAAACCUCACAGGUCAUAAUUCUAGUCUCAACUCAACUGGAUCAAAGCUCAAACCAAUCUGUACUCUAGAACAAGGCUGCGUUCCUCCUCUAACGUGUGUGGGGGUCAAUACAAGUCUCCUCAACGAUAGUCACAUGACUGGGGUCUUUGGGAAAAGGGGUGUGGUCAAUGUCACAUCAGCCCAAUUGGAGACUCUACUAGAUUCGCCGGUUUUCACUAAUUCAUGUCUUCUUGUGUUAUAUUAUGCUACAUGGUGCCCAUACAGUGUUGAUUUCAUGCCUACGUACAAUGAGCUUGGAUUAGUGUUUCCUAAUGACUCACUCACUAUUGUGGCACUGGAUUUUGGGAAAAAAGACGAUGAAAAGUUUUUACUGGCAUACAUCCCGCGUGUGUUGCUGUACUACUCUGGUAGAGCUGUCUUUGAUGUGGACACAUCAUUGAGUAUUGAUAAUCUUACAAGCAUCUUAUCCAAUAUGACAGGACUCUUACCAUUAGCAAGAGAGAAUGAUACUAGUGAAGAGACCCAAUCUAUUCACAUUGAAUGGGAGUUUGAUUCAACUUGGUAUUUCUUGGGUGUAAUCGGUAUUGGACUGAUAACAAUAAUUAACCUACUAAAGAGAACUAGCUUUUUUACUAUGGUAGCAAAACUAAGGGAUGUAAUCAGGAAUCUUGUUUUAAAAAUAAAGACAGAUUAAGAAUAUCAAUUGUUUAAUUAUACCAUGAAUGCAUUAUACUGUACUCGCCCCAAUUAAUGCACCCUCCUAAUUAUUGCACCUCUACAUGGCUUUCACAAUAAAAACUUUCUAUUACGUGCACCUCCUGGUCAAGAUAAUUUUUUUUGAGAGGUGGAUUGUAAUUAGAAAGUCCCAUUGUUUACAGGUGUCUGAUCUCUGCAAAGUGCAAACCAAUGCUAUAGGUUAUAAUUCUUAUUCUUAUUUAAAUUAGCUUCUCAAUCAUCAUUAUACAAUAUGCACUGUUUACUUUUGAUAUCUCCUUAAGGCUUGGUGGUUUCUUUAUGAUUACUAUAUAACUUAAAUGUUUAAACUUUCAGUAUGAUAAUGAUAUCUGCAUGUGAUUGACUAUUAUAAAGGAAGGGAGAUGUUUUUUUAUAUCAAAAAUAACAUCCAACUACUUUGGUUGAUAUGAAUAUACAUGUGAAGGAAACAAGUGCUAUAGUGUAUGCAUCCAAGAGCAAGCAAUUGAAUCCAAUUUUUUGGGAAUUUUCAUGGGAGGCUUGUAUAUUGUGUUAUUAUAAUUUUUACACUACUUCCAAGUAUACAGCCAAAGUGAUUUGCUUUUACCCAAAUUUUGUUAAGGAUACAAGGAAGACAAACAUGAAAUGGUUUCAAAACAGCAGAGCGAGGGUAUUUAAGUAUUCAGCUCACACUUACUGAAUCAUUAAACACAAUUCAAAACUACUAGCUCAGUAAGAAUUAGAAAGAGAGAGAAGAUGAAGGUGCUUAUAGUUCUUGUUGUGAUGGUUGGAUUUCUGUAUGGUAUUGACUCAAAAACUUUGGUAACUGAGAAUGAGAUGCUAAAUGAGUCUGAAGAUGGUAUUGCUGCUGAUAUUGAGAAGAUGCCAGCUGAAGGUUUUGAAGAAACCGAGAAACAAUUACAACAGGCACCAUUGGAUGAGGAAGAACCUACAGAUGAAGUAGAACAAGAAGAACUUACAGAUGAAGCAGAACAAGAGGAGGAAGUGACUGCCAAUGGCUGUGUGGUAACUGCGAGGGUCUGUGGUCUAUUCUAUAAACCAAAAUGGUGCAAAGCUAGGCAAUGCUUCACAGUCCGUGCUGCAGCAACUAGGCCAGUUUAUAAAAAAAUAUGCAAAUACCACAAGUUCGAUUACAAAAAGCAUGCAUGUUCCAAACGUCAGUGUUUCAAAGUGCAAGUGGGAGUCGAGGUUGUAUAUGUUAAAGCCAGGAAAUGCUGGAGAUACACAAAAUUCUGUGGCUUUAAAUGUGUUCGAAAGUGUAAGACCAUCACUUUUCGUUAUCCAUCACCACCACCUGCAGAGGUAGCUCAGAACUGAAGGAAGACAGUGAUUGAAGUGUCAAUGGACUAAUUUGUUUAUAGUAUUAGUUUAAUAGCUGCACUGCAUAGGUAGUGCAUGUAAUGUCCUUUUUAAGAAUCUUUUUAAAUUUUUCAUCAUA